GUAGGUGGCAAGCGUUGUCCGGAAUUAUUGGGCGUAAAGCGCGCGCAGGCGGUUCUUUAAGUCUGAUGUGAAAGCCCACGGCUCAACCGUGGAGGGUCAUUGGAAACUGGAGAACUUGAGUACAGAAGAGGAAAGCGGAAUUCCACGUGUAGCGGUGAAAUGCGUAGAGAUGUGGAGGAACACCAGUGGCGAAGGCGGCUUUCUGGUCUGUAACUGACGCUGAGGCGCGAAAGCGUGGGGAGCAAACAGGGAUUAGAUACCCUGGUAGUCCACGCCGUAAACGAUGAGUGCUAAGUGUUAGGGGGGUUUUCCGCCUCUUAGUGCUGCAGCUAACGCAUUAAGCACUCCGCCUGGGAGUACGGCCGCAAGGCUG
rnacentral:rRNA from 1 species